CUGCACAUUCUCGAUUCAAGAUACCCAUCCAGUGACCGAGGAUACAUUCUGCAACAUUGAGAAGAACUCUAACAUGGCACGUUUGAUGAGGAAAUAGCUCCUCAGGAGGCAGUGGAA